AUGGCGAGGCGCCUGGGAGUCGUGCUGGUUGUGGCGGCGGUCGUUCUUCUCCUUGUCACCGCCACGGCCGCCCGGUCCGACAACCCACCCAAGGUGCAGGGGCCGAAGCCAAAACCGAAGCCGAUGAGCGUCAAAGUGCAUCGACGCAAGGAGAACCCCUACUGCUUUAACCGGAACAUGGACUGCCCUUCCUACUACCCACAAUGGGAGCAACACGUGCAAACCCGUCUGCGGUGCGUGUGUGCAGUGUGCAACACGCCAGGGGCGUGCGGCGAUCCACGGUUCAUCGGCGACGGCAACACCUUCUACUUCCACGGCCGCAGGGAUGCUGACUUCUGCGUCGUCUUCGACCAUGAUCUUCACAUCAACGCGCACUUCAUUGGCAAGAGUGGCCACAACAGCAUGUCUCGAGACUUCACCUGGAUGCAGGCCAUCGCCGUUCUCUUCGACGGUGGCCACCACCUCUACGUCGACGCCAGGAAGACCGUCAUCUGGGACGACACUGUCGAGCACCUCGAGAUCACCCUGUACGGUGAGCCUGUGCACCUCCCCACCGAUGGUGCCAACAAGUGCAUGUCCAGCCUCGUCCCCGAGUUGUCUGUCACUCACACAAAGGCGGCCAAUGGCGUGUUGAUCGCCCUUGACGGAAAGUUUAGCAUCAGGGCGAACAUCGUGCCCAUCACCUAG
rnacentral:rRNA from 1 species